AUGGUGCCGCUGAUGCAAAGUGAUGUCCGUCCCACCCUGACGGUGCUGCCGCCCUCCAGCGAGGAGCUGCAGCAGGGGAAGGCCACGCUCAUAUGUCUGGCCAACAAAGGCUUCCCCUCAGACUGGAGUCUGGCCUGGAAGGUGGACGGCAGCAGCAGCAGCAGCAGCAGCGGGGAGGAGAGCAGGAGCCCCGGGGUGCUGCAGAAGGACGGCCGCUACAGCUGGAGCAGCACCCUGAGGCUCCCUGCAGACCAGUGGAGGAAGGUGGGCUCUGUGACCUGUGAGGCCACCCAGGGCUCCCAGACUCCAGUCUCAGAGACACUGAGGAGAGACCAGUGUUCCCAGUCCUGACCUGACUCACUGGGACUCUGCUACUGGUUUUACUCUGCUACUGCUCUCACUCUGAUCACUGCAGCUCUCUCUCUCUUAUCACACUGAUUCAGUAUUAGUCAACAUCAGUUCUUCAUGUUUUCUUUGCUGUUAUAAUGCUCAUUCAAGUUUGAACAAAAUAAAGAUUUUCUCUUCAAAUCA